rnacentral:rRNA from 1 species
UACGUAGGGGCCAAGCGUUGUCCGGAUUUAUUGGGCGUAAAGAGCUCGUAGGCGGUUCGGCAAGUCGAAUGUGAAAUCUCCACGCUCAACGUGGAGGGGUCAUUCGAUACUGCCGUGACUCGAGUCCGGUAGGGGAGUGUGGAAUUCCCGGUGUAGCGGUGAAAUGCGCAGAGAUCGGGAGGAACACCCGUAGCGAAGGCGGCACUCUGGGCCGGUACUGACGCUGAGGAGCGAAAGCGUGGGGGGCAAACAGG